rnacentral:misc_RNA from 1 species
AACUUUCGGCAACGGAUCUCUUGGCUCUCGCAUCGAUGAAGAACGCAGCGAAUUGCGAAAUGUAAUGUUGUUUGCAUAACGUCCAACAUCAAGUUUUUGAACGCAUCUUGCACUCUUGUUUUACAAGAGUAUGCCUGUUUGAGAGGAUAAACACCCCAUCCAAUCCCAAAUAUUUUUAAUAACCAAAGAUUGGGAAGUUGAGCAAUCUUGUAGUAAAAUGUGAGUUGCUUUAAUAGUAGUUGGUAGGUUUAUGUAGAAAUGGUCAUUUUCCAUAUUACUUUAUAGUCCAGUAAUGGGUUCUAGUAAUAUCUUGGGUUUGAUAUUCUAAACAUUUCAUACAAAUGCUAUAGCCAAACGCAAGGAAGUUUAUACCAUAUAUUCCUCAAAUCAGGUAGGACUACCCGCUGAAUUUAAGCAUAUCAAUAAGCGGAGGCU